rnacentral:rRNA from 1 species
GGAUAACCUACCCUUAGGACUGGGAUAACCUUGGGAAACUGAGGCUAAUACCGGAUAGGCAAUUUUUCCUGUAAUGGUUUUUUGUUUAAAUGUUUUUUCGCCUAAGGAUGGGUCUGCGGCCGAUUAGGUAGUUGGUUAGGUAAUGGCUUACCAAGCCGUUGAUCGGUACGGGUUGUGAGAGCAAGAGCCCGGAGAUGGAACCUGAGACAAGGUUCCAGGCCCUACGGGGUGCAGCAGGCGCGAAACCUCCGCAAUGUGAGAAAUCGCGACGGGGGGAUCCCAAGUGCCAUUCUUAACGGGAUGGCUUUUCAUUAGUGUAAAGAGCUUUUGGAAUAAGAGCUGGGCAAGACCGGUGCCAGCCGCCGCGGUAACACCGGCAGCUCUAGUGGUUGCAAUUUUUAUUGGGCCUAAAGCGUCCGUAGCCGGUUUAAUAAGUCUCUGGUGAAAUCCUGUAGCUUAACUGUGGGAAUUGCUGGAGAUACUAUUAGACUUGAGACCGGGAGAGGUUGGAGGUACUCCCAGGGUAGAGGUGAAAUUCUGUAAUCCUGGGAGGACCGCCUGUUGCGAAGGCGUCUAACUGGAACGGUUCUGACGGUGAGGGACGAAAGUUAGGGGCGCGAACCGGAUUAGAUACCCGGGUAGUCCUAACUGUAAACGAUGCGGACUUGGUGUUGGGGUGGCUUUGAGCUGCUCCAGUGCCGAAGGGAAGCUGUUAAGUCCGCCGCCUGGGAAGUACGGUCGCAAGACUGAAACUUAA